AUAUCGUCGACCGUCUUUCGUGGCACAGACUUUAUAUUUUGAUAAUAUGAUAAUAAACUGUCAUUUUUUGUUCAUUCUCUGUUCGUGUUUACUAUCGUUUUGUAUGUAUAAUUUUAUAUUUACAAAUUUACAAUACAUAAUUUAUUAAAUAUUUGUAUUAUUAUUCUUUCUGUUCGUUGUUUACUGUCGUUUUGUGUUUGUAAUUUAAUAUUUACAAAUUUACAAUACCUAAUUUAUUAAAUAUUUUUUCUAUUAUUCAUCAUGGAUAGAUAUUAUGUUACGGUCGAGUAUUUACUGAGUAUCAACUUUUCAAGUUUACCUUUUGAGAAAAAGGUUGAAAUAAAAAACGAAGGUAGGCCAAUGCCAAAUUUAAAUAUAAUACAAAUUAAAAAAAC